rnacentral:rRNA from 1 species
UGGGGAAUAUUGGACAAUGGGCGGAAGCCUGAUCCAGCCAUGCCGCGUGUGUGAAGAAGGCCUUUUGGUUGUAAAGCACUUUAAGCGAGGAGGAGGCUCUUCUAGUUAAUACCUAGGAUGAGUGGACGUUACCGACAGAAUAAGCACCGGCUAACUCUGUGCCAGCAGCCGCGGUAAUACAGAGGGUGCAAGCGUUAAUCGGAAUUACUGGGCGUAAAGCGCGCGUAGGUGGUUCGUUAAGUUGAAUGUGAAAGCCCCGGGCUCAACCUGGGAACUGCAUCCAAAACUGGCGAGCUAGAGUAGGGCAGAGGGUGGUGGAAUUUCCUGUGUAGCGGUGAAAUGCGUAGAUAUAGGAAGGAACACCAGUGGCGAAGGCGACCACCUGGGCUCAUACUGACACUGAGGUGCGAAAGCGUGGGGAGCAAACAGG